rnacentral:lncRNA from 1 species
AUGACACUGCACUCCAGCCUGGGCGACACAGCGAGAUUCCGUCUCAAAAAAAAAAGAAAAAACAAACAGUUAUAUAUUUCUCCUCCCAGCACCAUGAAAGCCCCUACAAAACUUCAGAAGAUCACUGGCUUUCACCUGUCAUCAAGCUGGACAGCAGCUCAGGAGAGCUGGCUGCCUGGAGGAGAUGAUGCCGACACAGGAGGCGCUGCUGGCUCUGCAGAAGACCGGGUUGACAGGCACGGAACACCUAACUGUCCCUCUAGAUCCGGACUUGAGCAGAGUCUCUACCUCUCAUCUCGGCCGAGCAGAGUGUCAGGCUGUGCCCCAGCCUUGGCCACAGUCUGCAUCCCUGUGCUGGAGAUGCGUUCUAAGUCUCAUGGGAGCCAGGCUAGAGAGUGGCUGUUCAGGGAAACCCACCCCCAACGCCCUAGACACGACUCAAAGUUUCCAUUCUACUGCCCGCCGCGGGUCAAGAGCGCCAUCCCCAGAGAGCAAAGACCGCCCGAAACCGCAAUCCCUUUGCUGAAGUUAGGAGCCGCCCGGGGCUCUGUGGGACCUGGGAGGUGGCUCGAGAGACUUUGCAGAAGCGCGCAGGAACCAGCCUCCGACCUGGGGCGCUCGGCCGUGGGGCUGAUCUCCGUACUCUCCCGCCACUGGGGUGGGAGCGCGUCCUUCUCUCGAGUUCGGGGACCGCCCGAGAAGGGGGCUGGUGGCCUUUUUCUCUCUACCCCCUUUCUGGGCUCGCGCGCCUUCCAAGCCCCAAUCCUGGUGGGGCUGAGCGCCCCCACCCGCCCAGCAGUGCCGGGCGCCUCUGCAGCGCCACCUGCACGCGGAAAGCGGUGGCAGCGGCUGGAACUGGCGUCCAAGGAGGAGCAGCAGGAGGAGGACAUAUCGGCUCCUCUGCCCCCAGCUUUCUUCGCUGGCACGAGGCCUCCCUUCGCCGCCUCAGCCCCAAGCGGCCUGACCAGCCCAGCCCCGAGCCUUGUCCCGCGCCCUCCCCGGCGCAGGCAGCCAACGCCCCGAGCUUCCACUCCUGCUGCUGCGUUCUGAGCGGCCUCCUGCCCCGGGCGCCUCUUCUGGGGAAGCAGUGAAGUCACACUGGGCCCGAUCCGCUGACUCAUGAGAAUGAGACUCUUCCCCGCUCCCCGGCACACCC